rnacentral:rRNA from 1 species
AGUGAACGCUGGCGGUAGGCCUAACACAUGCAAGUCGAACGGCAGCACAGUAAGAGCUUGCUCUUACGGGUGGCGAGUGGCGGACGGGUGAGGAAUACAUCGGAAUCUACUUUUUCGUGGGGGAUAACGUAGGGAAACUUACGCUAAUACCGCAUACGACCUACGGGUGAAAGCAGGGGAUCUUCGGACCUUGCGCGAUUGAAUGAGCCGAUGUCGGAUUAGCUAGUUGGCGGGGUAAAGGCCCACCAAGGCGACGAUCCGUAGCUGGUCUGAGAGGAUGAUCAGCCACACUGGAACUGAGACACGGUCCAGACUCCUACGGGAGGCAGCAGUGGGGAAUAUUGGACAAUGGGCGCAAGCCUGAUCCAGCCAUACCGCGUGGGUGAAGAAGGCCUUCGGGUUGUAAAGCCCUUUUAUUGGGAAAGAAAAGCAGCAGGUUAAUACCCCGCUGUUCUGACGGUACCCAAGGAAUAAGCACCGGCUAACUUCGUG